AGGGUUCGAUCAUGGCUCAGGAUGAACGCUAGCUACAGGCUUAACACAUGCAAGUCGAGGGGAAACGACAUCGAAAGCUUGCUUUUGAUGGGCGUCGACCGGCGCACGGGUGAGUAACGCGUAUCCAACCUUCCGUACACUCAGGGAUAGCCUUUCGAAAGAAAGAUUAAUACCUGAUGGUAUCUUAAGCACACAUGUAAUUAAGAUUAAAGAUUUAUCGGUGUACGAUGGGGAUGCGUUCCAUUAGGUAGUAGGCGGGGUAACGGCCCACCUAGCCAACGAUGGAUAGGGGUUCUGAGAGGAAGGUCCCCCACAUUGGAACUGAGACACGGUCCAA
rnacentral:rRNA from 1 species